GACGAACGCUGGCGGCGUGCCUAAUACAUGCAAGUCGAGCGCAUAGAAGGGAGCUUGCUCCCUGAAGUGAGCGGCGGAUGGGUGAGUAACACGUGGGUAACCUGCCUGUCAGAUCGGGAUAACUGUGGGAAACCGUAGCUAAUACCGGAUAAUCCUUCGCACCGCAUGGUGCGGAGUUGAAAGAUGGUUUCGGCCAUCACUGACAGAUGGGCCCGCGGUGCAUUAGUUAGUUGGCGGGGUAACGGCCCACCAAGACUGCGAUGCAUAGCCGACCUGAGAGGGUGAUCGGCCACAUUGGGACUGAGACACGGCCCAAACUCCUACGGGAGGCAGCAGUAGGGAAUCUUCCACAAUGGACGAAAGUCUGAUGGAGCAACGCCGCGUGAGCGAAGAAGGUUUUCGGAUCGUAAAGCUCUGUUGCUGGAGAAGAACGAGUGCGAGAGGAAAUGCUCGUACUGUGACGGUAUCCAGCCAGAAAGCCACGGCUAACUAC
rnacentral:rRNA from 1 species